GCCUUUCGCACUGCUGAAUUAUCCUAGGACUGUUUUUUGCGCUUUCACUGUUUCUUUUUAAAAAAUGGAAGAAAAUCACGAUGGAAUUAAGCAAAAAAUAGUAUGUAUAUAUAAGCUGGGUAAGACCGCCCAUUUAAGCAAUUCUGAUUAUAGAAACGACUGCAAUUUCAUGUUUUCUUUGGAAAGAGCUCUUUUUUCAAUUUAAAAAAUGUAUUAAAAAUUUCCAGAUCUUCUUCAUAUGGAGUAAGCCCGCCCACCAGGGGGGUAAGAUCGCCCACCAUCUGUUGAUGAUAAAAAAUAUUUUUAGGUCCAAAACGGUAGGUUUUAUCGGUAUGGAAUUUUUGGCACAGUUGUAGAUGAUAUUUUUUUUCUUGUUUUUUUGUUUUU